ensembl:snoRNA
UUGCAUCCUCUGACAGACCUUGAGCAGUUUGUGGUUUUUCUUCUGGUUUGCACUAGGAUGCCAAAGAAAAUGCUCCCCAUGCUUCUUGCCUGUCUUUGUGGCAGUCCAGAUUGAAUUGGAGAGUACAUGU